AUUGAAACAUUGGUUCCUGUAUGAUCACUGAAGUUAAGCAAUAUUGAGCCUGGUCAGUACCUAGAUGGAUGAUCACUUGGGAAUACCAGGUACUGUAG